UCGAGGAGCUGGACCUCAAGCAAUGAACAUCCUCGGUCUUCAUCAGUUAUUAGACAUGUCAUAGCACAGCUGCACAUGAGAGAGAAGAACAAACAAUACUCACCUAGGAGUUUCUGUCCCAGCAUGCUUAGCUGCUCUGCAUUGAGUCCUCUCUUAGUGAUGGAGGAAAACUGCCAGCUCAGCACUUCAGACAGCUGCGCCCAACUCACAGAUGGUGGAUUCACAAAAAAGGACAGAUUCUGAAACAGAAGAUUUGAUGUCGGAAUUCUGCAGCCAUUCCGAUGGACUCCUCCAUGUUCAUCACCUUCAUGUUGGUCCCCAGGAUGUUGAACUUCCGAAAACUGAAAAGAGUCGUAUCCAAUUACCCUGAUUGCGUUAUGCUUUACCUUUACCGAUACAACCCUCCACUGCUGACUGAGGAGCUUCGUACCUGACACACGCCCCCUCCAACACAUGCGCAGGCCAGCAGAGGUCGUAAUUCCACCAGUUAUGAGGAACCCUGGUCCGGCUCAUCCCACCCUGAACAACAGCCAAUCGUCGUUCAUGUAGCCGCCCAGCCCAGUCGGAUGGCCGAGGACAUUAGACAUUAUUAUCCAGAUAUCAGUCCAUACUUACAAAAAGUGGAAGCGCAAAACAUGACAUCAUGAAACUUAAUGUAAUGAUACGAAAAAGUGACAAAUUACAAUCAUUAGGUGUAUGACAUAUGAGGUCUAGUCAUUAUUAAAUCUAAAGUAAUUACUCAUUCCCAGCAUAAGUAUACUACAUGAAUGAACGACUCAUAGAAAAUUUGGAUUUACCAUUUUCAAU